ACUUUUGUUUAUAAAAAUGGAAAUAUAAUCGUUUGUGGAGUUGCUUUUGUUCAGAUUAGCAAGAGCAAAAAAAAAAAAAAAAAAAUGAUUUAUGUAUAAACACAUUGUAUUCAAUAUAAAUCUCGGUUUCACUACUAUUACUCAACACUGACAAAUCUAUAUUUCUAAAAGGAAAAACUGGAGAAAGAGAACUUAUAGUGGAUACAGUUAUCAACAAGAAUAAUUUAUUUUCAUAUAGAUCAAUCAUAAUUGGUUCUGGCAAGGGAAGAAAUUAUUUCUUUCCAAUCACUUCCGCCACGAUCUGCAUAUGUGAUUUUUGUACCGAAUAUGUUUGUCUUUGAAUGACACUUUUCAAAUUCUUUAAAAGCCGAAUUUGAUUUUCCCGAAAAAAUCUCUAUGAAAAUAUAUUUAAUUUUUUUGCAAAGAAUUUACCAAGAAAUCUUAUAUAAUAUACAUAUGAAACUAUUUAUAGUAAAUAUGUUAGUGGCAACGCCGAAUUGUAAAAAUUUGAAUAUCGGUAUGAAAAUUGAGCCAUUAGAAUGCAGCAAUUCUUUGGCUUAUCCGAUAUUCCACAUCGCUAACCAUGUAGGUCUCCAUGAUUGCUAUCCGUGUAACGGACGAUUGCUUCAUCAUCGUUUGCGUUUUCUUUUAAAAAAUGUUAUUUGGAAACACGAAAAAAUGCUCGGUGCCUUUUAUUAAUAGUAUCUUUCAUCUAUCUAAUAAAAUUAUAUUCUAUGAAAACUUUAAAGUAUUUUAAGAUUUUAUUACCGUAUAAUAAUUGUAAUAAUUGUGCUAUAUAAUGAUUUAAAAUAUACUCACUCAGUGAUGGAAUAUUAUUUAGUUUUUAUAUGAAGUUUUUAGUCCUCUCCCGACCGGAAACAGGUGAGAGACUAACAUACAAAAUAGCCUGGAUUUGAGGGAUAAAAAAAAGAUUCAUAGAAGUCUUUUCUGUCGGCUAACAUCAUAGAUAUCUUUAACUACAAAUACGGUACUAUAUUUAUCAUCGAGGAUCUAAUUUUUCUUUCUAC
rnacentral:lncRNA from 1 species